rnacentral:ncRNA from 1 species
AACCAACACCGAAAGGUGUUGCUGAACACACAGAAGUCAGCAGAGGUCAUAGUAGCCAAAAUGAAGCUAGCUUCAUACGGGCGAAGGAC